GGAGGAACCAGACUGGAUGUUGGAGGUGAUGUCCGUCCCACCCUGACGGUGCUGCCCCCCUCCAGCGAGGAGCUGCAGCAGGGGAAGGCCACGCUCAUGUGUCUGGCCAACGAUGGCUUCCCCUCAGACUGGAGUCUGGCCUGGAAGGUGGACGGCAGCAGCAGCAGCAGCUUGGAGCAGAGCAGGAGCCCCGGGGUGCUGCAGAAGGACGGCCGCUACAGCUGGAGCAGC